AUCACAUACUCGUUUAAAAUACCUAUUUCAACUAAGUCUUUGGAAAUCUUUAAUAUUUCUAUACUAGUGUUCAAUUUAAUUGGUUUGCAACGAUUUUCUAUUGUUUUACACUAUAAUUCAGCGAAGUCAGAUGCUUGUCAAAUUGCCAACAGACCGCCUCCCCAUUUUCCGCUCUCUUAUGUCUCUUCUCCUUUCGACAUAAUCGAACCCUUUCCACACCGACCAUCGUUUCUGUUUACCACUGAGACUGGAAAACUAUUUAAUGUUGCUGUCAGGAAAGCUAUAAUAAUGAAAGCAUGUUGCAGCAACACAGCAGCUAUUCGGAAAUGGUGAAGACGGAAAACAAAGUGUUUGACUGAGAAACCAGUUCAGUGACAAGGAUCCAAAGGAUUUCAGUAUGGCUGAACAAGGCCAAAUGGAGAAUGAAGAGGAAGGCAAACCAACUGACCUGCCAGCUGAGAUCAAGGAUUGGAAUAAACAUCACGUGAAACAAUGGGCUCUCAACGAGGCUUGUGUGGACAGUGAAUCUGCAAAUAUCUUGCUUCA